UAAUGCUUGGAUUCGAGCAUCCGAAUGGAGUUGGAAAUACAGGGUGCGGGCCCACACCACACUCUCACCAUUUCUCAUCCACUCAUUUCCCGUCAUGUGUCUCCACUGGUUCCUGCUCGUUCUCAUCCACACCAAUCUCUCUCUCCCUCCCUCUCACAUGCGCGCUCGAGUGCCAGGGGCAAGCAACACCGGCCGCCACUCCCUUGCGGCUUCCCCGCACCGGCCGCCAGAGGAGCUCUGGGCAGCGGCAAUGGAGGGCAGCUCCGGGCGGCAGGCAGCAGGCGGGGUGCACGUGCUGGGGGCCGGGCCUCUGCUCCCUACGCCUUCCUCCACCCCGGUAGCUGCUCCCUCCACCAUGGGUGAGCCGCGCCGGCCGCCGGAGGAGCUCUGGGCGGCGGCCAUGGGAAAGAUGCAUCAAUGGCUAGGAAGACUGAUCCGGUCAGCCAAAGGUCUUUGAGCUUCGAUAACCAACCGAAAGCAUGGUGCCUCACGGGGACCUCAGUGGAGGUUUGACCAGGGACCUUCGGGCGGACGUAUCAGAACAGCUCUAUGAACAUAACCGCCAAAUGUUGAUGAAGGUUGGUAAAGAGACACCCGAAGGUGACGACCAUGUAAGGUGUAUAUAUAAGUAAAUAGUUUGUACACAUUAAUCUAUGGAAAUGACUAUUUCCCCAUAAUAUCCUUCGAAUAUAGAGGGCAGAUAGGGGUAUUUUUUGAAUUAUGCAACUAAGGUUGGAGUAUAAACAUCCCCCCGAUCACUGUAACCUUCGAUCCCAGUUCAUCGCUUUAAUUUUGUGGUGAUCACAACUUUGAUCCCAAAAGUUGUAGCAGUUGACGUUUUUGAUGCUUCAUCUGUUGAUUUCUCAUUUUACAA